GAACGCAAGUUGCGCCCGAAGCCUUCGGGCCGAGGGCACGCCUGCCUGGGCGUCACGC
rnacentral:rRNA from 1 species